GAUGAACGCUGGCGGCGUGCCUAAUACAUGCAAGUCGAGCGAACAGACGAGGAGCUUGCUCCUCUGACGUUAGCGGCGGACGGGUGAGUAACACGUGGAUAACCUACCUAUAAGACUGGGAUAACUUCGGGAAACCGGAGCUAAUACCGGAUAAUAUAUUGAACCGCAUGGUUCAAUAGUGAAAGACGGUUUUGCUGUCACUUAUAGAUGGAUCCGCGCCGCAUUAGCUAGUUGGUAAGGUAACGGCUUACCAAGGCAACGAUGCGUAGCCGACCUGAGAGGGUGAUCGGCCACCUUGGAACUUAGACACGGUCCAUACUCCUACGGGAGGCAGCAGUAGGGAAUCUUCCGCAACGGGCGAAAGCUUGACGGAGCAACGCCGCGUGAGUGAUGAAGGUCCUCGGAUCGUAAAACUCUGUUAUUAGGGAAGAACAAAUGUGUACGUAACUAUGCACGUCUUGACGGUACCUAAUCAGAAAGCCACGGCUAACUACGUG
rnacentral:rRNA from 1 species